GAAGAGAACGGCUUUUUUAGGUCUCUUGGUCGCUUUGGGGGGCGCAGGCCGGGGGAGGCCGUUGAGGCCAAAGCCGGGGCCGAGCCCCUGGCUGCUGUCCCGGGCCACCAGGCUCACGCUCAGGUCCAUGCCUCCCUGCUCUGCCCGCAGCGGCCAGAGUCCCCAGCUGCCGGCCGUCAGCCCCCACCACAGACCUCCCCACGCGAGGCGCUCUGGGUCGGGCCGGCGCGAUCAAAUUCUGCCGCGGUGCUGGAAGGAAGCCCGUGCCUGCCCUGGCACUGCCAGCUUCUGUGCAGAUGUAACCUGAGUGGCCCAGCAGCCACGACCCAGCUAAAUAUAAAACUGCCCCACCGGAGUCCCCCAGGAGCCAUGCCACAGACCUCCCGGGGCGGGGGGCACCUGGGAGCAGCACCCCCAGGCCUGGGGGGUUCCAACUGUAAGGCUUUCCAGUAGACGUGGACCCCCAACAGCACGGCAGGGAGAUGCCCAGGAUGGGCACAGAGGCGGGUCCCAGCCCAGUGCAGAGCAAGGGCCAGUCCACCAGGAGGAGGGGGAGAGGUCAGCGGGCAGCCCAGGGCCCAGCGCAGCCCUCAAAGCUCCCUGGGCUUGGAGAAAUCCCAGCUAUUCUGAGAAUCCGUGAGAUAGAUCAUUCAUUUCCCCUUCUGAGCUGCAAGGGACACUCUGGAUUAGUUUCCUCGUGCGUUCGUGUUCCCAGGGAAGGUGACAGAUUCCGGGGUUCCCAGCGCGGAGAGCCUCGCUCUAAGUGUGGAAAGGGUCUGGAAAUGGAGAAACUUCCACCAAGCACCCUCAACCAAUCCUGAGACCUUGGCCCCCACCUCCAUGGCCCCCUCUCCGCCUGCUUCUCAUCAGGCCCACCCAGGCCUUGUUCAAGGCCACCACCAGGGCAGUCCUUCCACCACACCAGCCCAGCACAACAUCUGUGUCCAGGCUCUGAGCCCCCAGAGCCCAGAGCAGACAUCCCAGGCACCCCCCAGUCUCUGAGCCCCAGUCAGGGGAGCACGGGGGCAAUGCUGGGAGGGGCAGGGCUCCGAGGGGGGUCUGACCCACCCACCCUAAGCAGGCAGACAGAAGGCAUGCCAGCCAGCAGUGAAAGGUGCUAACUUGGGGGAGCUGGAGCGAGGCCUAGCAGCCCCAGCCUGUCAUGAAAGGUCUAAGGGCCCUGGGGCAGGGCUUGAUGCGGAUCUUAUCAGACACCCAGGCAGGACUGGGUCUGACCCCAAGUAGGCCCUUCCCGCCUGGUAGGCCCUCAUCGGAGGCAGCAUGGACAAAAGGAGAACGUGGAACCCAAGGCAGGGCCCUGAACAAGGCUCUCUGAAGGCACACCCACCCAGCCAGGGACCCCCCCCCCCGCCCCCGCCCCAGGGAAAGGGUUCCUCUCUGACACCCCCUACUGCCAGUAGGAGAGGCAGGGGCUCAGCAGGCGGCACACAGGACUGAUCCCAGGCUUCUCUCUCAGUCCCACCCUGGGGGCAGGUAGGAAGCUGUGUACCUUGAGGGGCUGGCAUGGUGCCUAACAGACCAGACGUACCCCAAAACGUCAGGAUGUGAGGAGACCCCGAGGGCCUGCAAAGAGGGAAAGGGGAUGGGCCUGGGUUCAGAUCCUGGCUCCCCGCACCAGCCAGGGGUGGCUGUAGGCCUGUGUGUCCAUCCAUGCUCCACCUGUCCCUCAUCACCGACCGAGGGCAGGAGAGUCCAGAGCCCAAGAACUGCUGGCCAGCGUUCCUGUUACCAUGCUAGAGCAGGAGCCUGCCAUCACCUGGGGCAGGUUACUGAACGCCUCGGAGUCACACAGAUGACACAGUCAGACAGAAGGGCCAGGAGGAGGGGGCUGGUUGUGCCCCCCAAGCAACUAGCCCCACCCAGGGCACUCCCGGGAGAGGGGAGGGGCACAGGCGAAAUGUGCCAGAAAGGGCAAUGACAGCAGGUCCCUGAGCGGGCAGAGGGCCUGCGGCCCCGUGGCUGCAGGCAUAUUAAUAGUUGCCGGGUCCCCGGUGGCAACACCCACAUGUCUUCGGGACCCGUGUGGUCUGCAGGAGGGCUGCACCGCCUCUACUGGGAGAGCAGGCCUCCGAGUUCCUGCUGAACCACUCAACAGCUUAAAAUACAACCAGCCCCUCUCCCGGCCGGCCAGCUGCUGGGGGAGGGCUGAAAUCCUACCCUCUCCCCCAAGCUGGGCACCAGACCAGGACCCAGGAGCAGACAGUGGGCCCUAGGAGCCCCGACUGGCUGCUGGGAAAGGAAGCGGGGCGGCGGGAGGGGGCAGCGGGGACAGAGGCCACCCCUCCCAGCGGCUGCCACUGCCGCGGCCGCACCCAGGCUGCAAGGAGCAGCGGCGCCCUCGCGGAGCAGGAAGGCGCGGUCGGGCCAGGGAGCUGGAAGAGGAGGAGACGCUGGAGCCCUGUGGACGCAGGCUAACAACACGCUGACCAGCAGGGGGCGCUCGUCCAGGCUGACUCCCGACCUGCACCCAACACGCCCAGCCCCAGGUGCAGCAGGCAGACCCCACCCCUGAGCCUUCAACUGUUGAGCACUCCAGAACUCAGAGGCCUGGCAUCAGAGACGUGGUGAGAAGUCCUCAAGACAGAUUGUUGGUUCACAGGAGAGCAGGGCGGGGGGAAGAGUAAUUGCUUUACAGUGCUGUGCUGGUUUCUGCUGUAC